AAACAUCUGAUGCGUUCGUGAUGUGCCGGUUUUAUUUUGACCUAACACCUAUAAAAUCGGGAGCUUGGCGUCCGAAUAUAAUUGGAACGCCCGGAUUUAACGGGACUUCAUGAGUAUUUGGCAGGGCACCCACCUGCACAAAGCAGGCCAAAUCAUCUGGCAAAAACACACGACGCUAUCGGAUGUUUU
rnacentral:other from 4 species